UACGGAGGGUGCAAGCGUUAGUCGGAAUUACUGGGCAUUAAGGGCGCGUAGGCGGGAGGGUAAGUCAGUUGUGAAAUCCCGGAGCUCAACUCCGGAACGGCAACUGAGACUGCCUUUCUCGAGGAUAGACGGAGUAAACGGAAUUCCACGUGUAGCGGUGAAAUGCGUAGAUAUGUGGAAGAACACCCGUGGCGAAAGCGGUUUUCUAGUUUAUACCUGACGCUGAGGCGCGAAAGCAAGGGGAGCAAACAGG
rnacentral:rRNA from 1 species